AAUCCCGGUAGGAGGGUCAUCGACAAAGCGACCUCGGUCACCCAAUGCUCCAAUGGCUCCAAGGAGUGUGAAGAGAAUGAAGAAGAGAAGAAGGGGUUCAGCUUCAUAAAUGGGAAUUCCAGUCUCCAAAUUCAGCUGUGCUAGGAUUCCUUUCCCUGUUAUUGCUUCGCCUAGCAAUGAUGCCUACAAGUGCCGGAUACGAAUAUUUAAUAAACAGAAAUGAAGAAUUCGAGUAAUAUAAUAUAUAUAUAUGUAUUGGUUGCUUGAAAAGAAAGUAACUUACAGCAAAACCAAGCAUGGCAACACGUCCCACAAAGAGCUCAUUUUGCUUGGUAAAACCAAUCCCUCCAGAGGUGCCAAAGAUCCCAUCUUCAACCUUUGGCUUUGACUUUGGCUCAACCUUUUAUAUUACAACAAGAUGAAUAUAAACACAAUUAUAAAAAAAAAGAAAAAAAGAGUAAAGUUAAAUCCCCACUAAAAAUAUACUAAAUGACAACCUAGCUAGAGAACAAAUUUGAAAUACAAUACCCUCUUGGGAGCUGCUUUGGUCUUUGAUUUAAAGAUAGCUAAAGUGGUGAAAGCUUUGGAUGAAGUAUGGACACCGUUAGACAAUGGAUUGAAGAAGAGAUGAGAGACAGGUUUAGGCUUGAGUCCUUGAGCUUGGAAAUGGAGUAAAGGGUGAUCUCUCU
rnacentral:lncRNA from 1 species